AACGAACGCUGGCGGCAUGCCUAACACAUGCAAGUCGAACGAGACCUUCGGGUCUAGUGGCGCCCGGGUGCGUAACGCGUGGGAACCUGCCCUUAGGUUCGGAAUAACUCCCCGAAAGGGGUGAUAAUACCGGAUAAUGUCUUAGGACCAAAGAUUUAUCGCCUUUGGAUGGGCCCGCGUUGGAUUAGCUAGUUGGUAGGGUAAAAGCCUACCAAGGCGACGAUCCAUAGCUGGUCUGAGAGGAUGAUCAGCCACACUGGGACUGAGACACGGCCCAGACUCCUACGGGAGGCAGCAGUGGGGAAUAUUGGACAAUGGGCGAAAGCCUGAUCCAGCAAGGCCGCGUGAGUGAUGAAGGCCGUAGGGUUGUAAAGCUCUUUUACCCGGGAUGAUAAUGACAGUACCGGGAGAAUAAGCUCCGGCUAACUCCGUG
rnacentral:rRNA from 1 species